CAUCGUAUUCAGUCUCCAUUACCGAUAAGCGGAACUCAUCGGCUUUAGAGCGCAGACCACGCACAUUUUGAUAAAACACGGUUAUACGCGUCGCUUGAUCGCUGGGUGCUUGAUGUAAUGAAGUGUUAGUAGCUGGUAUGUUGGAGAUGACGGAGCUUAUCGUAGAUGGUGAGUGUAUGAUGAGUGUCUGUGUUGUCGAAGAGAUUGCUCGGACCGUGUGAGUACCAUAUGACUGCGCUGCUGUGGUGCGGUUACUUCGGAAAAAAUUGAGCCAUUGUAGUUUGACGCGUUUUUGCUCGUGAUGUGGACGGAAGAGUAGGUGAAGUGAGAGUGCGAUUCAUAUCGGUUGGUGAGUGUUCAGCUUGUGUCUGCGAAGGUUCACGGAUAAGUGCAGGAAGUGCAUCCGGGGAAAAUUGGUUGCAGUGCUGGAAGGAUGCUGAGUGGGACGCGGCGAAUCCGGCAAAGCCAUCCCGAAUCUCUUGCACUACCGGUGGGACUAAGCUGGACUUCAUUGCUUCAACGGCAGCUGUGAGGGCGGCUUGAAAGCCAACUUGCAUACCCGUACCCUUAAACACUUUGCUUCGCGGAUUACCAAUCGCAUUAGUACACGCAAUGCAACUCCAGUGCAGCGAAGGCAUCCUUUUCACUUCGUCGAUCACUGAUAUGGGCACUUUCGUGCACGCCAGAUGAUGCAAGCUGCGGAUGAACGUCGAAGGAGCCACGAAUAGAAGCCGAAAAUAUCGUGAACACAGUAGUUAUCGUCAGGAAAACAAUACUAGGAUCGCGGGAACUGCACUUAUGGACUCAGCAAAACUAAAAUCGGUUAGAGCGAAAACCGAUUACACGGAUAAAAUCGUGGAUAAAUUCGGAGCGAUUAGCAGUAAACACACUAAGUUGGCAGCUGUC